CCUACGGGAUGCAGCAGUGAGGAAUAUUGGUCAAUGGACGAGAGUCUGAACCAGCCAAGUAGCGUGAAGGAUGACUGCCCUAUGGGUUGUAAACUUCUUUUAUAUGGGAAUAAAAUGCUCCACGUGUGGGAUUUUGUAUGUACCUUAUGAAUAAGGAUCGGCUAACUCCGUGCCAGCAGCCGCGGUAAUCCGGAGGAUCCGAGCGUUAUCCGGAUUUAUUGGGUUUAAAGGGAGCGUAGGUGGAUUGUUAAGUUAGUUGUGAAAGUUUGCGGCUCAACCGUAAAAUUGCAAUUGAUACUGGCGGCCUUGAGUACAGUUGAGGUAGGCGGAAUGCGUGGUGUAGCGGUGAAAUGCUUAGAUAUCACGAAGAACUCCGAUUGCGAAGGCAGCCUACUAACCUGCCACUGACAUUGAUGCUCGAAAGUGUGGGUAUCGAACAGGAUUAGAUACCCGUGUAGUC
rnacentral:rRNA from 1 species